CCCAGUGUUAACCCCUAACCCAGUGUUGAACAGUAAAGACUGUUUUCUUCUGUUUCAGAGGCGCUGAAGAGAACAGACACAGAGCUACAGAAAGCAUGCUUGGUGGAGGCCGUGCGUAUCCUGGACGGUGUGUGUGUGGAGGACGCAGGGUGUGUGUAUCGUGCGUUCCCGUGUGUUAAGUCACUGUUCGGCCGUCUGAACUCUGACCUGUCCUGCAGCAGAGUCCUCCUGCCCAUCGCUCAGUUCUACCUGAACCACGGGGAGACUGCAGCGGUGGACAGUGAGUGUGUGUGGAGGUGUGUGUUUGGUGUUCUCCCAGCAGAGUGUUUCAACGACCCCUAUCUGGCCCACGAGACGCUGUCCUUCAUCAGAGCCAAUCAGCUGCAGCUCCACUCCUCUGUACCACUGUACA